CCAGCAAAAAUGGGUAAGGUUGCAAGAAGGAGACCAACAUUUUAUUUCUGCCUAUGGAGCAGAACAGCUCUGUGACUCUUGGACCAAAGAAAAAGGAACUGAGACAAGUGGUAGAAGAGGCAGGAUCAAUGGUGGGACCUGCCAUCACUUCCAUUAUGGUGUGACAAGGAUUUUAUCUUCCUGGCAGAUCAUGUUUACCAUGGAAAGUAGCCAGGCUUCGACUUCCUUGUAGGCAUUUCAACCAAGAAAACUGCCUUCUGAGCAAGGGGAUCCCAGCAACCCUGGUACAGCAGGCUCUGAGCAAUACCAAGGAGCAGGGCAGGAACUAAGAGGGGCUAUGUAGGAACCAUAUCUCGAUCAGGAAACCGCAGUAGGGAGGCCCUCCCAGGGUGCCCUGAAGAACACAUACAGCUCAUAGAGAGUAAGUGAUUGGAAGACAGUCAGGUAAAAAAUAUCUACAUUCCUCUUCUCCCUCCACUUCUUCCUACUACUCCAAUACCAUGGUCCACCUUCAAGAGAAGCAGAAGAAGAUGGCACAGGUAAGAAAAUCAGAGCAAAGGAAGUUUGAGUAAUGCACCCUGGCUCCCAUAAAUGGUAGAUGCAGAGCUCAAACCCACAUGGCUGACUCCAGACCUCAAUGAAGAACACGUUCCUGUUUUCCUGGGUGGUUCACCAUUUUGCCUGUUGUCCCAGGCCCCCAUGCAUUUGAAAGGAAGAGAAGGAGAACAAAAACAAGGAAAGAAAGGAAAAAAGGAAGGAAGGGAGGAAGUCAAGGCAAGAACCCUACAUCUACAUGACAAUAAGCCAGCAAAUCUCUAAAGGAUGAGAAGCCACAUGGGGAAGAGAGAAGUUGUGCCCACUAGCAUGAGCCCAGAAACAGAGUCUUGCUCUAUCACCAAGGCUGGAGUGCAGUGGUACGAUCACAGCUCACUGCAACCUCUAACUCCUGAGCUCAAGUGAUUCUCCUGCCUCAAUCUCCCAAGUAGCUGGGUCUACAGGUAUGCAUCACUAAGCCUGGCUCAUUUUUCUUUUAGUUUCCAGCAACCAAACCUGUCUUCAUAAA
rnacentral:lncRNA from 1 species